rnacentral:rRNA from 1 species
UACGUAGGGGGCAAGCGUUGUCCGGAAUCAUUGGGCGUAAAGCGCGCGUAGGUGGCUUCGUAAGUCCGCUGUGAAAGUCAAAGGCUCAACCUUUGAAAGCCGGUGGAUACUGUGGGGCUAGAGUACGGAAGAGGCGAGUGGAAUUCCUGGUGUAGCGGUGGAAUGCGCAGAUAUCAGGAGGAACACCAAUAGCGAAGGCAGCUCGCUGGGACGUUACUGACACUGAGGCGCGAAAGCGUGGGGAGCGAACAGGGA